rnacentral:rRNA from 1 species
GUGGGGAAUCUUGCGCAAUGGGCGAAAGCCUGACGCAGCCAUGCCGCGUGGAUGAUGAAAGUCUUAGGAUUGUAAAAUCCUUUCACCGGUGAAGAUAAUGACUGUAGCCGGAGAAGAAGCCCCGGCUAACUUCGUGCCAGCAGCCGCGGUAAUACGAAGGGGGCUAGCGUGGCUCGGAUUUACUGGGCGUAAAGGGCGCGUAGGCGGACAUUUAAGUCAGGGGUGAAAUCCCUGGGCUCAACCUCGGAACUGCCUUUGAUACUGGGUGUCUUGAGUAUGAGAGAGGUGUGUGGAACGCCGAGUGUAGAGGUGAAAUUCGUAGAUAUUCGGAAGAACACCAGUGGCGAAGGCGACACACUGGCUCAUUACUGACGCUGAGGCGCGAAAGCGUGGGGAGCAAACAGGAUUAGAAACCCCUGUAGUC